GGGAGCCGGCGUGGAGCACACUCGCACACAGCCCGGCACCGCCGGGGGAAGGGGCCAGCCCGAAGGCGCACGCGCGGGUCUUGGCCAGGGCCGGGUCUGCUCCCAGGACUCCCACCCACCCGGGAGCCAGCGUCGCCCCUCUGUGCUGUGCUACCGGACGGAGAAGGAGCCCAGUCGCCAGGGCAACCGGGAAGCCCGCCGCGGCCCCCGAUUAGGUGCCCGCCCCAGUUCCCUGGGCGCAGGGCGGUUCCGGGCUAAGGCGGGGUGCGGGCGCCCCCUGGUGGCGGGCGAGGGCUCCGCAGGGGGCGCGCUGUCGCUCUCCCUCCCGGUCCGCGGAGUCCGGCCGAGGCGCUGCCCGGGAUGCGGGCGGAAGGUGCCUGCGCCUCCGCCUGCCCGUGCGCGGCCUCUCUCGUCUGCCUCCAGGACCUCCAGAACAGUGGUUCAUUACAAAGGGACAGAAGAGCUCCUUGGUUCUCAUUUUAAUGGUACAGCAGGAUGGACGCCACUGCCAGAAGGCUCUCCUGAGAGUUGAAAAGAGGACCAGGCAUGCAGCCUGGGGAGCUGACUAAGACAUCAGUCUCCAAGUUCCCUCCCUGGGGACCUCCUGCCCUGGACUAUCCUGCAGCUGUCACCUUGCUACCCCUGAGACGAGGUGGAGUGAACUUUCCCCACGCACACUGUGUGGCACAUGUGCCUACAGGAAGGUAGUUUAAGUGCAGAAACAAAUCUUCAUUGUUCUGGAGCCAGAGGCUCAGUGGCAAAGGGUUUCUGUAGCUGGUUCCUUCUAGAGGCCCCCAGCAUCACCAGGCCACUCCUGGCGUCUUCCACGUGCCUUAUGCUGGUGGCAAUGCUGCGCCCAUCUCUGCCUCCCUCUGCAUGUGGUCUCCACCACUGUGUCUCACAUCUCCCUCUCUUCACCCUUCUAAAAGCACCAGGCCCCUCCUAAAGCCAAUAGGUCUAUCUCAAGAGCCUUAAUUAUAUUUGAAAAAACUCUAUUUGCCCAAACAGUGUCACAUUCACAGAUGCUGAGGGUUAGGACUGGGCAUUAUCUUAUCUGCUCAGGUAAAGACAGAGGCCAGGCAGGUGGGGGAGCCAGACCGUGUGUUGGGUCAUGGGGACCAAGGGCUGUGUCUGUGGGCAGGUGCCAGGGUGCAGCCCUUCAGACCCAACACAGCAGGGGUGCAGUCUUGGAGGUGGAGACACAGCCACUGGGGAGAGGGGAAGGUGGCUACUUCCCUGAGAGCCAGGUGGCAGGCAGCCAGGAGAGGGGUCUGUUGAGCUGUGAAGCCCCACACUCCCGUCUUCGGCAGCCUCUGCUGCGUGAUCCUGAUCUAACUCCAGGGACCCAAGUGCUGUGCGAAGGUGGAUGACGGUGCAGCAGUCCAUGCGAGGGGUUCCAUGUAGUGAAGGGAAAGACUCCGGGCUUCUCACAGCCGGACCCCAAAGUCACAGUGAGGGCCACACCCUGAGAACACAGUCACAACUCAUUCUGAGAAUGCAGAAUAGAAGCCCUGCUCUGAGGUCCCUAGGUCAGGUUUUCCUUACUGCUGCGACCUUGAAAAAAGUUCUAAACUGCU